GAAGUGGUUUUGAGCUAAUUAUAUUGCAACUUUUAGUUGUUUAGUUUGGGUUGUGACAAAACCCCAUUUAAAUUUAUAUUUAGGGGUGAUAGGCCUUUCAAAAACUAUGAUAUCUUGAUUCUAGUGAAAUGUAUUUAGUACAGUUAAUACAUUUAUUAAGUGUUUAGAUUUAAUAACAAUAUAAAUUUAUAUACUUAUUAAUAUUAUGUUAUAAUAUAUAAAUAUAUAUUUAAAUAAUAAUAUUCUUUUCUUUAAUUUUAUAGGUAAUAUAUUGGAAAUAGUUUAGUUCUUAUAUCUUUGAAUAAUGUUGGUAUUAGUAUAUAUAUAAAGUUUUUGUAAGGAACUCGGCAAAUUGCCUCUCAACUGUUUAUCAAAAACAUAACUAUGUGUAAUUGUACAUAGCGGCAUCUGCUCAAUGAUUUAUUAAAUAGCCGCAGUAUACUGACUGUGCAAAGGUAGCAUAAUCAAUUGGCUUAUAAUUGAAGUCUGGAAUGAAAGAAAGUAUGGGGGGCGACUAUCUAACACAAUAUACAGAGAACUUAUUUAUGAAGUGAAAAUCCUUCUCUUAAUAUAAUAGACGAGAAGACCCUAGAAAUUUUUAUUAUAUAAUAAUUAUAUCUCAAGUAUUUUCGCUGGGGCGGCGGAGUAACAUAGAACCUACUUACACCAACUUGCGCUUUAUGUGGCAAUUGAUAAAAUUACUCUAGGGAUAACAGCAUAAUAUUUUAAAGUUUGUGACCUCGAUGUUGGACUAGGAUAUAAUAACCUAGAAGGUUUUUUAUAAUGCUCUGUUCGAGCAUAAACUCCUACAUGAUC
rnacentral:rRNA from 1 species